CAACGUAGGUAACCUGCCCCGGAGCGGGGGAGUAACAUUUGGAAACAGAUGCUAAUACCGCAUAACAAUAAAAGCCGCAUGGCUUUUAUUUGAAAGAUGGCUUUGGCUAUCACUCUGGGAUGGACCUGCGGUGCAUUAGCUAGUUGGUAAGGUAACGGCUUACCAAGGCGAUGAUGCAUAGCCGAGUUGAGAGACUGAUCGGCCACAAUGGAACUGAGACACGGUCCAUACUCCUACGGGAGGCAGCAG
rnacentral:rRNA from 1 species